UGACCUCGGGCUGUACGGGACUA
rnacentral:rRNA from 1 species